rnacentral:rRNA from 1 species
UAGGGAAUCUUCCACAAUGGACGCAAGUCUGAUGGAGCAACGCCGCGUGAGUGAAGAAGGUUUUCGGACCGUAAAGCUCUGUUGUUGGUGAAGAAGGAUAGAGGUAGUAACUGGCCCUUUAUUUGACGGUAAUCAACCAGAAAGUCACGGCUAACUACGUGCCAGCAGCCGCGGUAAUCGUAGGUGGCAAGCGUUGUCCGGAUUUAUUGGGCGUAAAGCGAGCGCAGGCGGAAGAAUAAGUCUGAUGUGAAAGCCCUCGGCUUAACCGAGGAAUUGCAUCGGAAACUGUUUUUCUUGAGUGCAGAAGAGGAGAGUAGAACUCCAUGUGUAGCGGUGGAAUGCGUAGAUAUAUGGAAGAAUACCAGUGGCAAAGGCGGCUCUCUGGUCUGCAACUGACGCUGAGGCUCGAAAGCAUGGGUAGCGAACAGGAUUAGAUACCCCUGGUAGU